rnacentral:rRNA from 1 species
AGCGAACGCUGGCGGCAGGCCUAACACAUGCAAGUCGAACGAACCUUUCGGGGUUAGUGGCGGACGGGUGAGUAACACGUGGGAACGUGCCUUUAGGUUCGGAAUAACUCAGGGAAACUUGUGCUAAUACCGAAUGUGCCCUUCUGGGGAAAGAUUUAUCGCCCUUAGAGCGGCCCGCGUCUGAUUAGCUAGUUGGUUGAGGUAAUGGCUCACCAAGGCGACGAUCAGUAGCUGGUCUGAGAGGAUGAUCAGCCACAUUGGGACUGAGACACGGCCCAAACUCCUACGGGAGGCAGCAGUGGGGAAUCUUGCGCAAUGGGCGAAAGCCUGACGCAGCCAUGCCGCGUGAAUGAUGAAGGUCUUAGGAUUGUAAAAUUCUUUCACCGGGGACGAUAAUGACGGUACCCGGAGAAGAAGCCCCGGCUAACUUCGUG